rnacentral:tRNA from 1 species
GGAGAGUUGGCUGAGCGGUUGAAAGCGGCGGUCUUGAAAACCGUUUUAGUGAAAGCUAACCGGGGUUCGAAUCCCUGACUCUCCGCCA